GUUGAUACCAAGUGGCUUCUGUCAUGAGCAGUUCAUUGUAAUAUUCUGGUUUAUUUCAUGUGUUGCCUUGAGAACAGUCCUGUGAAUAUUUUACAUAUUGUGUAUAUGAGAGUUUUACAAUCUGCUUAUCAUGCACCAUGCUUUUUGAUUGUCUUAACUCUCAAGUAGGCUUGGUUUCUGAAAGUGGCCGCCUUGGUCAUUAUGUAAAUGGU
rnacentral:misc_RNA from 1 species